rnacentral:rRNA from 1 species
AGUCAUAGCCAAACCUCCUUGCCAAAGCCUGAUCUCAUUAGAUUGCAGAAGCAAAGUGGAUCUGGGGCUGGUUAAUGCUUGGAUGGGAGACCACUCGGAAUACAAGGUGCUACAGUGG